rnacentral:lncRNA from 10 species
GUGAUUUACUGGGAAGUGUUUCUAGGAGAAACUGUUAAGGGUGUGAGGGAGGUAGGACAGAGCAAGGCAGAAGCCAAGUAAGGGGCUAGUUUCAGGCAAAGUCCUGGGGAGGGUGUAGUGAAUUCCUGCAGCGGCAUUGCUGAGUAGAAGAUGCAUCUCAGAAUUGUCUUGACCUGAGGGGAGGAGAUGGGCUUCCAUAUUUCCCUGCCAGUCCUGCGCUAGAGGAGGAAGGUAGGGAGGUACAGAGGUAAACUUCUAGGUGCUUCUGGCUCCCUGCUAUUGCAGCCCAAGCUGUGCCAGGACUCAAGAGCACCUAGUGGAAGACAGUCCUGCAUAGAGAACUUUGGAGAAUGGCCCUGUCUGAGAGAUAUGUUACCCUAAACACCAAGACUCAAUAUAUAUGACUUAAGAAAAAAAAGAUCCUUAUGCACUAUCUGAAGGUGAUGCUUCCUGACUUUUGCAACAGAAAGAAUGCUGUCUUCCUGUGCCUGCGGAGAUGAUAAUCAAGCUGGCACACUGACAAUCAAUGUAAAUUCAUUAAACAAAACAGGAAGUAAACAGGUAGGACAUCUUUCUCCUCUGUGCUCCUUCCUUUUCCUCAUGAGAGAAGAAUGGACUAACCUCAUUGAUUGAGAUUGUCAUGACAAUGUGUCUCCUCCCCUUUCCUUUCUGAUUCUGGGUUGAACCCCAAGGAAACAUGAUGAACCAGGUUGCAUGACUGUGAAGGCAGGAUAAAAGAAAAGCAGAAGAACCACAUUAAUCAUGGCAGACAUUGAUGAAGAAGGACAAUGAGGUUUUUCUGGUGGGUUUCUGGAGAAAUCAACUGUCAACAUUCUGCAAAACAAUCACUGACUCAAAAAACUCAAGAAGGGAGUAAAGAUAAUUAAUAAAGUUUGUCAAAGAUCAUUCACAAUUGCUUCAAUAAGAAUAAAAUACCUAGGAAUCCAACUUACAAGGGAUGUGAAGGACCUCUUCAAGGAGAACUGCAAACCACUGCUCAACGAAAUAAAAGAGGACACAAACAAAUGGAAGAACAUUCCAUGCUCAUGGAUAGGAAGAAUCAAUAUCGUGAAAAUGGCCAUACUGCCCAAGGUAAUUUAUAGAUUCAAUGCCAUACCCAUCAAGCUACCAAUGACUUUCUUCACAGAAUUGGAAAAAACUACUUUAAAGUUCAUAUGGAACAAAAAAAGAGCCCGCAUCGCCAAGUCAAUCCUAAGCCAAAAGAAAAAAGCUGGAGGCAUCACGCUACCUGACUUCAAACUAUACUAGAAGGCUACAGUAACCAAAACAGCAUGGUACUGGUAUCAAAACGGAGAUAUAGACCAAUGGAACAGAACAGAGCCCUCAGAAAUAAUACCACAGAUCUACAAGCAAUUGUACAUUUUUAUAGCAAAGAUUAUAUAUGUAUAAAACAAAAAUUAUACAUACAGUUAGAAUUUGUUAGCUAGACAGAAAAACACACUGUGUCUUUGUAUAAAUAUCUGUUUCCUUAAUUUAUUCUUCUUUAAAAAUAUUUCUUAUAUUUUUAAAUUUCAAAGACAUCUCUAUUGUUUUAAACAAUAUUAAUUAUAGUGAGGAAUAGUACUGAAAUAGAUUUCUGAGAUAUGACUUAAGGCAUCAGGAUAUCUAACAAGCCAUAAUUUUUCAAACAUUGUGAGCAGAUGCUGAAAAUUAUAAAGUGUUGUGAUUCCAACAGGAAUCAGAUACAACAGAAGUCCCCAGAAAAAAACAUAAAUAGCAACAAUCUUCUGGAAAGGUUUCAGAAGGAACCAUUUCUUCUUCCUCCCAUAUGUUCCCCUCAUGUAGAUUUAGGUGGUUAUAAUGUUGUUUGAGAGGGUGAAGUAAUGAGUGAAAGAAGAAUUAAGGAAUUAUACUGUAGUAAAAGAGUACUUGUUAGGACAUCUUCUCUAAGUCAGGUUGGGUCUAAGACAUUUCCUUAUUUCCAUGGAUUUGGUAAUUCCAUGAUGAAAUAAAAACAACUAAAGUUUUCUACAACCUCUUGCCUCUGCUUUGUAGAUUUAUACUUUUAAUAGGAGCUUCAAAUAAAAAGAAGACUCACUUGGUAAUGAGGAGUGUAUUUCAGUUGAUAGAUAAUUAAAUUGAAGUCCAAAGAAUUUAGAUUACUUUGAAAUCUUUGAAAUCACAACUUUGAAAGAAGUUGUGUCUCACUCCAAAGCCUAUGUUUAUUUCAUUAUGCCACAUGUGGUAAAUGAAUAUAAAGUGAGGGGAGCAAAUGAAAAUGUUAAAAUAUUUAACUUAAUUGAAUUGGAGAAGUCAUAAAUAUCUGUGGAAACUGCUAGAAAUCAGUUUUGAUAAUUUUCUUUGAAAGUAUGAUACAGUUAUUCCAUGAGUAUGGUAUGCCUUCCUAAUAAGUCUUCACUGCCUUCUAAACUAUCAUUAGAUGGCAAUAGAUGGUUCUGAAAGAUACAGUCUCAUUUAAGGUAACUUUUGUGUUGAGAUGUCAAGAGGCAAUUCUGUAGACAAAGGCUCCAGAAAAUGAUCUUCAAUAUAUUGUCAAAGUUUAGGGGUAAGUGAAUUGUUUGUGAAAACACAAUUCUCAGACACCUUACUAUUGAGCAGCAUUGGUAUCAGCUGACAGCUUGCUAGAAAUGCAGAUUUACUAUACCAGAACUGCAUUUUAACAAUGAUCCCCAAAUUUGAGAAGUAAUGCUUUAAUAGACUAUUCAGAAAUGUUGGGCCCAGUUGAAGUCAAGAGAAUAAGCAUGAAAGCAAUCAUCUACCUAAUGUAAUUUUUGCUGAAAGCAAGGGGAUAAUAAAUCUGGUUUCCAGUGUAUGUAUUCAUCAAGGUUUUCCACAGAAACACAAACAAUAGGAUGUGUGUGUAUGUGUUGGGGGGAUGUAUAGAAAGAGAUUUAUUAGGAGGAAUUAGCUGAUAUGAUUAUGAAGGCUGACAAAUCACAAGAUCUACAGUCAGCAAGCUAGACACUGCGGAGGGCCAAUGGUAGGUUCCAGUUCAAAAGCUGAUAGACCUGAGAACCAGGAAGAGCAGAUGUUUCUGUUUGAGUCCAAAGGCAGGAAAAAACUGACGUUCCAGCUCAAGACACUCAGGCCGGAGAAAAUUCCUUCUUACUCAGGUUUUUUUGUUUUUUUUUUUUUUUUUUUCUGUUCGGGUCUUCAAGGGAUUGAAUGGAUUGGAUGGAGCUCAUUCACAUAAGGGAGGGCAACCUGCUUUACUCAGUCUACCAAUUUAAAUGUUAAUUUCAUCCAGAAACACCCUCAGAAACACACCUAGAAUAACAUCUAACUGAGUAUCUGCACAUCUUGUGGCUCAGACAACUGACAAAAUUAACUAUCAAAUCCGGUAAUAAAUAGAACUAAAUGAAAGUAGUUCCAUCACAAAAUAUAACUGUAAAUCACUAAAGAAGUAGCCUCAACACAGUCCUGGGAUUAAAAAGCCAAUCCUCAAAAGAUCAAGGCAGAAUCAUUUGACAGUCCUACAUACAGUUUUUGGCUGGUUUUAAGACAAAAUAACUCAUUUAGAUCUAAAACAGAGACACAAGGAAAAUAUCUACAGGCAGAUAAUUCAAUUGCAAAA